rnacentral:lncRNA from 1 species
GUUGGACGGUUCGAUCUGAUCGAACGAGAGAGAAGAAAGAUACGUAAUCGACGUCCGGAGAAAAAGCUAGGCUUUCUCAGUCCUCGCUCGCUGCUCUCAAAUGGCAACAGGCAAGGGAGUUUGGGAGUGAUGGGAGCUCACACAACUCUGAUCCCAUUUUACCACAACCCCACCAAUUCUUGCCUUUUUUUGUCUGGUAAGCCUUUCAAUUCUCUAUUUUCCCAUUUCGAUUAUUUGGAUUUAGACGGAUCUUAUGGCAUAUAAAUAGCGAGAAUUUCAUAAACCAAAAAGAAAAUUUUGAUUCUGACAUAUUGGGAUAGUUGGAACUCGGAAGGCAUCAAUCAGUUGAUUUGAAAGAAUACAACUUUAAUCUUCUAGCAAAAUAUAACGCAACCAUUGACUACACAUGUUUGGAAUUUGAAGCAGCCGGAAAAAACCAAUUCUCACAAUGAUAGAAAUCAAAGGAAAAUAUUAUGUUUCUUUAUGGAUAAACAUUGUUGGGAGAGAAAAGAAAGGUUUUUUGUGUGUGUAGUGAAUGUAUAAUUGUAUAUGCCAAUGUGCAUACAAUUUUGUCUGGUUAUGCGUUUUUAGUGUCUCAUUGUAGAAUUGUAAAUUUAAGGACUUGUAGGAAUUCAGAAAUUGAUUUUUUUAAUCUGUCAAUGUAGUUUGGAGGGAGCUUUUGCUGGGGCAUUUGGGGCAGGAAUCGGGUGUAUCUGUUUGAAACCGAAAUACUGGGGCCAAUCUUUUCUUUGUGCAAGUCAGGUAUGAUAAUAGAGUAAAGAUGUUAUAGAUGUAACAUCCAUGGCUAAUGGUUAAAGCUCACUUUUUUGGUAUGUAAUCAUAUGGAUGUCAUUGAACUUCAUAGAAACUCUAUGUAGGAAAGUAAGUUUUCAAGCAUUGGAAAUGGCAUUUUAUUUUCUUGGUAAAGUCUUUCCAUAGCUUAGUUUUGAAGCCUGGUAUCAAAUGUACGGUGUUUCCUCCUCCUGCAUCCCUCUUCUCUCUAUUUUACAUUAUGAUUGGAAUCAGGCAAUAAAGAGUCAUGAAGACCGUUGACCUCUUUAGGUCAAUGAUGUGCCUUCCACAUAGUUAGCUUGAUUUUUUAUUGUUACAAUACUUAGUUGGAUUUUAUUGUACUUAGUGUUUGAGGUUGAGGAUGUUCACAGGAUUUUAGAGGACAUCUCGUUCAUCCCCUUUCUAACUAUUUUAUCAUUAAUAAAAUCCAUAUUUGUUACCGAAAAAAGAAAAGAAAAAAGGGGCUUACUUUGAGGUUGCUACGUGCACCCUCACUCAACACUGAACGAAAGACAGGCAUAUGCACUCAUAUGACUUAUGAUCAUAUUGUUGCGUAAUUGUGGAUUUAUUUUUCUUUCAUUAGGCAGAUAGUGGUCAUCACUGCAAUGGAUGUAGCUUUUGCUGGUCUAAUGGUAUAUAGAAUAGUGAUAGUUUGUAUGUCUCACUCUUUUACAUCAUUUGCUUUGUACCACUGGGAAAAUAGGAUCUCAACUCCAAAUAAAUAACUAAACUUUAUUCAAAUAGGAUUGUGAUUCAUAACAUGCAUUCACCACACUAGCUUAUUGUUUUAUUUUGUCCCAACAAGGAAAGUUCAGACAUACCAUCUUUUGAUCAUUGAUGAAUCAUAGGCAGUUAGGAUUUUGGCCUCUAAAUGAUUUAGUUGUCAUUACUCUGUUGCUCUUUCCUUAAUAACCUCUGGUUCUUAUUUCUUCAAAAUUAUGAUCACUAUGCAGGUUAUCAUGAAGGCUUGAAUAUUUGACUGAGUAGGGGAAGAAAAAAUUCUUACGCAAGUUCAAGUAUCAUUUAGUGCAUAUCUCACCACUCCCCUCAAUGGGAUCAAUACAAGAGGUCAGGUCCCCUGAUCAACCUUGAGGUAUCAGUUCUGUUUUGUGGUUAAUUUUAUUAUCAUUAGUUUCAAGUGACUUUCAGUUGUCAGUGUGGGACAAAAAUCUUUUGCUGUAUAAUGUGCUGUUAGUGUACUUACUGUUACUUGAACAAGGCUCGACGAGUCAGCAGUUGUGCAUGUGAACACUGAUCACAUAGGUACACAGGCACAAACAUCAUUUAUCUUUCGUAUCGUUUAGGGGUUUUUACAAUCCUAUUGCUGUUUUGUUGAUGAACCCUUGACUAACAUUUUGGUUAAAUGUUGUCACAUAACAGAGUCUUGGGGACGAAAUUGAGGGGCUAUUGACUGAAAAUAUACUCAGUAAAGUUUUGUUGAUUGUUAUUUCAAACUGGCCUUUCAACAUCGUCGCCAAGAUGGGCAACUUGCCUUUCAAUCUGCCUUUCAAUCUGGUUGUAUUACUCAUUGGCUUACAGUUAAAUGUGAUAGCAAAAGGAUUUUCUAAGUUCAAUCUAUAAUGUUUGUUGUGAACUUUAGGUCAAUUAAUGCCUGGAUGCAAUUCGUUGCAUAUGGAUGGAGGAAGAUGCACAGGGGAUGUUCAAAGAUAGCAGUCUUCUGGAUUAUACUAUCCACAGCUUCAGCUCCUACUUUUAACGGUUGUGGUAUUUGUGAGAGACCAUUUCAAAGGACUGAGAAUAAGCAAGAAGUUGCUAGCAAGUUAGUAGAGAAAAAGAAUCGCCUUCAGAAUGGGUGGAGUGAUAAAAUUGCACUGAAAUUUUUUUCGUAUCCCAUCUGGUUUGUUGAAUUGAUUGGGGCAUUUCCAUGUAUCGAAGUAAAUAUUUUGUAUGAGAAUUUGUGAACUGUUUUCAUGUAAUAUGUGUACAUACAUAUAAAGAUAAUGAAAAGAAGGUUUUUAUGUU